rnacentral:rRNA from 1 species
AGAAGCCCCCGGSYUACUACGUGCCAGCAGCCGSSGGUAAUACGUAGGGGGCAAGCGUUAUCCGGAUUUACUGGGKGUAAAGGGUGCGUAGGUGGUAUGGUAAGUCAGAAGUGAAAACCCGGGGCUCAACCCCGCGGAUUGCUUUUGAAACUAUCAAACUAGAGUACAGGAGAGGUAAGCGGAAUUCCUAGUGUAGCGGUGAAAUGCGUAGAUAUUAGGAGGAACACCAGUGGCGAAGGCGGCUUACUGGACUGUAACUGACACUGAGGCACGAAAGCGUGGGGAGCAAACAGGAUUAGAUACCCUGGUAGUCCACGCCGCCUUYCUAAUACUAGGUGUCGGGGUCUAUAAGACUUCGGUGCCGCAGCAAACGCAUUAAGUAUUCCWCC